GCAGUCGACGAACUCUGGUAUUGAUUGGUGCUUGCAUCAUGAUUUACAUUUGAGUGAGUGGCGAACUGGUGAGUAACACGUGGGAAACCUGCCCAGAAGCGGGGGAUAACACCUGGAAACAGAUGCUAAUACCGCAUAACAACUUGGACCGCAUGGUCCGAGCUUGAAAGAUGGCUUCGGCUAUCACUUUUGGAUGGUCCCGCGGCGUAUUAGCUAGAUGGUGGGGUAACGGCUCACCAUGGCAAUGAUACGUAGCCGACCUGAGAGGGUAAUCGGCCACAUUGGGACUGAGACACGGCCCAAACUCCUACGGGAGGCAGCAGUAGGGAAUCUUCCACAAUGGACGAAAGUCUGAUGGAGCAACGCCGCGUGAGUGAAGAAGGGUUUCGGCUCGUAAAACUCUGUUGUUAAAGAAGAACAUAUCUGAGAGUAACUGUUCAGGUAUUGACGGUAUUUAACCAGAAAGCCACGGCUAACUACGUGCCAGCAGCCGCGGUAAUACGUAGGUGGCAAGCGUUGUCCGGAUUUAUUGGGCGUAAAGCGAGCGCAGGCGGUUUUUUAAGUCUGAUGUGAAAGCCUUCGGCUCAACCGAAGAAGUGCAUCGGAAACUGGGAAACUUGAGUGCAGAAGAGGACAGUGGAACUCCAUGUGUAGCGGUGAAAUGCGUAGAUAUAUGGAAGAACACCAGUGGCGAAGGCGGCUGUCUGGUCUGUAACUGACGCUGAGGCUCGAAAGUAUGGGUAGCAAACAGGAUUAGAUACCCUGGUAGUCCAUACCGUAAACGAUGAAUGCUAAGUGUUGGAGGGUUUCCGCCCUUCAGUGCUGCAGCUAACGCAUUAAGCAUUCCGCCUGGGGAGUACGGCCGCAAGGCUGAAACUCAAAGGAAUUGACGGGGGCCCGCACAAGCGGUGGAGCAUGUGGUUUAAUUCGAAGCUACGCGAAGAACCUUACCAGGUCUUGACAUACUAUGCAAAUCUAAGAGAUUAGACGUUCCCUUCGGGGACAUGGAUACAGGUGGUGCAUGGUUGUCGUCAGCUCGUGUCGUGAGAUGUUGGGUUAAGUCCCGCAACGAGCGCAACCCUUAUUAUCAGUUGCCAGCAUUAAGUUGGGCACUCUGGUGAGACUGCCGGUGACAAACCGGAGGAAGGUGGGGAUGACGUCAAAUCAUCAUGCCCCUUAUGACCUGGGCUACACACGUGCUACAAUGGAUGGUACAACGAGUUGCGAACUCGCGAGAGUAAGCUAAUCUCUUAAAGCCAUUCUCAGUUCGGAUUGUAGGCUGCAACUCGCCUACAUGAAGUCGGAAUCGCUAGUAAUCGCGGAUCAGCAUGCCGCGGUGAAUACGUUCCCGGGCCUUGUACACACCGCCCGUCACACCAUGAGAGUUUGUAACACCCAAAGUCGGUGGGGUAACCUUUUAGGAACCAGCCGCCUAAGGUGGGACAGAUGAUUAGGGUGAAGUCGUAACAAG
rnacentral:rRNA from 2 species